ACGGAGGAUGCGAGCGUUAUCCGGAUUUAUUGGGUUUAAAGGGUGCGUAGGCGGAUUAAUAAGUCAGUGGUGAAAUACUGCAGCUUAACUGUAGAAUUGCCGUUGAUACUGUUAGUCUUGAGUAUGGUCAAGGUAGGCGGAAUGUGUAAUGUAGCGGUGAAAUGCUUAGUAAUCACACAGAACACCGAAUGCGAAGGCAGCUUACUGGGCGAUUACUGACGCUUAUGCACGACAGCGUGAGGAUCGAACAG
rnacentral:rRNA from 1 species